rnacentral:tRNA from 1 species
GUUNAUGUAGCAAAACCUGGCUUUGCAGNNGAUCUAAGCCCUUUUUAUAGAGGUUCAAAUCCUCUCAUUAACUCU